AUGAAAGACCUUGGUGUGGCUGAUGUUAUCUUGAACAUCAAGCUACUGAGAGAUAAUGAGGGUGGGAUCACACUUCUGCAAUCCCAUUACGUUGAGAAGGUGUUGAGUCGUUUUGGAUAUUCGGACUGCACACCAUCUCAAACACCAUAUGAUCCUAGCGUAUUGAUUCGAAAGUCCAAAGGCAUGGCUAAAGAUCAAUUGAGAUACUCUCAAAUCAUUGGUUCACUGAUGUACCUAGCGAGCGCAACGAGGCCUGACAUCGCGUUUUGCUGUGAGCAAACUGAGCCGGUUUGUUUCCAAACCGGGUGA
rnacentral:rRNA from 1 species